rnacentral:rRNA from 1 species
CUUAGUGGCGAACGGGUGAGUAACGCGUGAGGAACCUGCCUCAAAGAGGGGGGAAACAGUUGGAAACGACUGCUAAUACCGCAUAAGCCCACGACCCGGCAUCGGGAAGAGGGAAAAGGAGCAAUCCGCUUUGAGAUGGCCUCGCGUCCGAUUAGCUAGUUGGUGAGGUAACGGCCCACCAAGGCAACGAUCGGUAGCCGGACUGAGAGGUUGAACGGCCACAUUGGGACUGAGACACGGCCCAG